rnacentral:rRNA from 1 species
CAGCAGCCGCGGGAAUACGAAGGGGGCUAGCGUUGUUCGGAUUUACUGGGCGUAAAGGGCUCGCAGGCGGCUUCUUAAGUCUGAUGUGAAAGCCCCCGGCUCAACCGGGGAGGGUCAUUGGAAACUGGGAAACUUGAGUGCAGAAGAGGAGAGUGGAAUUCCACGUGUAGCGGUGAAAUGCGUAGAGAUGUGGAGGAACACCAGUGGCGAAGGCGACUCUCUGGUCUGUAACUGACGCUGAGGAGCGAAAGCGUGGGGAGCGAACAGGAUUAGAGACCCGUGUAGUCCCUGUCUCUUAUAA